CGCAACAGAUGCUCUUGGUUCGCUGUCACCUGUGGCAGGGGGAGGGAGGGAGCGGGGUCUCGUGUAAUUGAGAUUUACGGCUGUGUGGCUGCUUCCAGCUGACGAGGUUUACAGAUCGCUUUCUCUCUAGCAGACAAAUUGCUUCUCCCUUAAAAAAAAAAAAAAAAAAAAAAAAAACACAAGACAAACACAUUCAGCGCUCAUUAGAAUGCGCACACACAGACAGUGACGCAUUCACCCCGUGGGAUCAGAUUUAUCAUCCCCGGACUCCUUAGUGUCCCACAAGAGACGCAAUAUUCAGGCCAUUACGUGGCCGAUCUAUUUAUUUCCUGCCCAAGAUGGCUGGAGCAGUGUGUAUCUCUUACCGUGACAUGACAUUGAACGCCCUUUCCAUCCGCCUGAACAACGGCUGAUAUGCCUGACCUCAAGGACGACUCGCUAGAUGGUUGGCAGAGAGUGAGCGGAUGAGGAAAAGGAAACGCCGCAGUGAGGCUGAUUUGUGUUUUUCUUUCCUGAAGUGAUUAUAACUAACAAAAAGCAAUGAAAUAGCAAACAUUGAAAAAAUAUUUUCGUUAACAAAAUAAAAUUAAGAGGGCUAUAACCCUUUCGGGGACAGCGGUUACUACAGUGGAGAGCUUAUCGUGUUAUCAGGUUACAGGGUGCAUGAAAGGGUGAAAAAAAAUGUAACUAACUGAAACUACCGUACAUUUUGCGCUUAUAAAACUAACUAACAACUUUCUAUCAUGAUAAUGAAAAUGUCUUUUGAUUUAAUCUUUGUCAAAUAAUUUCUGACAUGAGCUUUAUUUUGGGCAUAUUUAUUUGGGGAGUACUAUUCAGACAUGUAGGACAGUCAAACUGUUUUUGGGGAUUUGUGGGUUACUUUACUUCAUUACACAAUACUUGGCUACCUUUUUUUUCUUUAAUCGGGCGCUUGUUAAAUACGCCAUGGAAUUAAAAAAAAAUCAGGUCAAGUAAAAAUAAAGCUAAUACUAAAACUAAUAAAAAGUGAAUUAAAGCAAAGAAUUUUGGACAUAUUAAAAAGUAGUCAAAACUAACAAACCUACUGUAUAAACAAAGUAAUGAAUUAAAACAGUUUAGUGGGAAAAAAAUGUCAAAAUGAAAUAAAAACUAACUCCUACGAAAAAUCCAAAAUUAUUAUAACCGCAGUCGUGAGUGGAGAAAAGCGAAAAUAAUAAAAAUAACAAUAACUAUAUAAAAACAAUGGCAUUGAUUUAAAUAACAUCGUUUCAAGAAAUGGCUAGAUAAUAUUCCUGAAUCUGAAUCGAAAGGGUCCAGAUGGAUGUUUAUCGCAUUCAUAUAAAAGUGAAUGACAGUUGUGCCUCCUCAUGCCGCCAUUCAAAUGGAGUAUGAUCCUUCAUAAAAUGUACACCACAUGUUGGAGGAACACAAUAAGAUGAAUAAUUUUUGUCCCACCAAGCAUCAUCAGGUUAUUCAAAAAAAACAAAAAAGCAAUAUGAAUAUCAUCCUACAUCAGCAGAUAUAUAUUCUUGGAGCAGACAGGUUGAAAGGUAUCAGCUGGAAGCAGCAAGCGCACCUCAGACAGCAUGCGUUCAGCCAGCAUCACAUUGUCGUUACCUGAGCAGAUGUAUCAACGGAGCUGUGCCUUCAAGAGUCACCCUCAUAUUAACUCAUUCACUGCCAGCCCAGUCAAAACGGAUCUUUGACGUCUAUAGCCGUCAAUGGCAGUGAAUGAGUUCAACAGUUGGGAAUAAUGCUCGUAGCUUUUGAGUUUGGUAUAAUAGAUAUAGAAGGAUGCUCCAGUCAAGCAUUCUCAGGUAACGACACCCAAUCCUCACUUUUCCAAACAAGCUUCUUGCUGUCGUAUGUUUUGUAUGAUUCAGUUUUUGAUUCUCAUUUGAUAUGGCACUUUUUGCUCUGUUUUAUUCCAGCUCUUGAAUAUUUUUCUUUCUCCGUAAGACUCAGCUGCAGUGAUCUUUGUUUGUGUUGCUUCUCUGUGAGCAAUGCCGGGCUAUGUUUGCAUGGCUUCAAGUCACAUCUUUUGUUGCUGUUAAGUUUUCCCACUAUUUCUACGUAUUUGACUUUUUCCAGCUUUGAUUGCUUUGAUGUUAUUCCGCGCCGUUUUGCCUCAGCGCGGCUUAACGCGUCUAAGCAUGGCAAAUUGAGCACCGCAGUCAAGUGCGUUCAUUUCCCGCCCUCCCCAUCCUGUCUUCUCUCCUUUCCUGUUGCCCCUCAGCAAACAGCUGUACUGUGAAAAAAAAAACUUCAGCCGGCUCUCCAAAAACUCUUGUUGAGGCGAGAAGUGAAACUUUUCAGAGUGGUGUGCCAUACUCAUAAGUCCGUACGAUGCACACAUACAGUCCAAGUAUAAUGGCAAGUUAUGACGUAUUGCAAUACGCUUGUAUAAUUUUAAUAGAUGAUAAUAGUUGCAGCACAAUUUCCUUCUGGAUCAAUAGCGAGUUACCAUGUUGGUGUGGUAAUUUGCUGAGGUGUGUGUGUGUGUGUUUAUUGUAAAUGAAUCUCAUUACAUUGUGCAAGAGCAACACAUUCAGCGUUUGAAUAUUGUCUCUGUUGCGAUUAUUCCAGCUUAUAUAUCAAGGUGGAAAAAGCACACACUAGGAUUUACAACUACAACCCGUAUUGAUUGUGUCUGCCUCACAGUUGGAAGGUUCUGGCUCAAAUCUGUGAGGAGUUUAAAAAAAAAAAUGGGAUUAGAUUUUUUUUUAAUGUACUGUAUCUUCUUCCCACAUUCCAAAAACACGCGUGUUAGGUCAAAUGAAGAUUACAGUUCUGAAUGUGAAUGGCUGUUUGUCUGUAUGUGUCCCGUGAUUGGCCGGUGACCAGUCCAAGGUGAAAAGCCUCCCAAGUCUCCAAAAUCUAAUCUUGUGGCAUAUGAGUGCAUAAUCAUCGAAAUGGUAAAAAGUUUUGGAGUCAAAUGUAUCAGUUCCUAUCAGGAGCCGUGCUCGAGAUAAUAUGGCGCCUUAAAAUAAAUUAAUCCCCCAUCUCCUUUUUUCCAUUUGCAGCGGAGACAUUGCAGGAUCUUAUCUCCUAAUGAAUAUUAUUAUUAGGCCAAAGCGCCACAGUAAUUAAACAGGCGCUGCAAAGUGAGGAGUAUUAACGAGCCGGCGGCGUCUUUAUCUGCCGCUUCAGUCGAGGGGCCCUCCCUAUCUCAAAGGUAGCUUCUUUUUUUCACAGUACAUUUGCACUUUGUCUCUGUCUGUCUGUCUGUCUGUCAUAAAAAACCCCCAUGACCCUCAUGGCUCAAACCACGCCCACUUGCUCUGAACACCUCGCCAUCUCCUGCCACUGUGACCCCUCCCAACAUCCAACAGGGAUGGCAUGUUCCAAGGCUGUACCUUUUUAGAAGUGAUUCCUCAACCAAUUUAUGGAUAACCCCAAACCCUCCCUCCGAUCCUGCCCCCCCCCAACCCCCUCCUCCUCAUUCAUUCCCGCUCCUCCCCCUGGUAGACUGUCUCCUUUCCAACAAGACUCAUAUCUCUUCUCUUGUCUAAAUGAAUCCCUCCUUUUGGCUCUCUUCCCUUUUCUGCCGUCUCUCUUCCUGUCAGCCCCGCCCCCUCCCCCCACCUCCUCGUCCACCUUCCCCAGCCCGACCUGUAGCCGCCGCUGCGCUGCUCCAAUUUAUGGCUUCAUUACAGCAGCUAUCCACGGGAGACGGACGAGGGUGAAAGAGGGAGGCAGCUAGACGACAGGGGCAGGAGACAUGGGAAAUAAAGAGAGUGCAGGAAAAGCAACAUGCAUGAUAAAGAUUUAUUUAACAAGAAGGACAAUCAUGCAGUGGUGAGGCGAAAGAAAAAAAGACAGCUGAGAGGUAAUUGAAAACAACGGGAAAAAUCAACAAAUGAGAAGCGAAAAGAGGAAAUUGAGGUCCGGAAAGUUAGUGUGAGGUUCGUCAAGGAAAAGUUUCUGUGCUUUCUUUCUUUGUAAGAGUGAACAAACGAGGAAGUUCCACCCCAUUGUUGUAAGUGACUCAGUUAUCUGCAGUAAAAUCCAUCUUGUAUGUUUUUUUUCAGAGGAUAAAGAAUAUGUACCUGUGAGUAAUGUUACAUUGUCUGUCUACAUCUGUUGCGACAUUGCUUGCGUUCAAAUAUGAGAUAGCGGUAAAGAUAUGUAACGGUUUUAAAUGAUAGUAAACCUUAACUGGGAGUAACGUGAAGCAAGUUGAAAGGCUCUUUUUUUUCCUGAAGGUUAGUUCACGAAGCCAAACUGCUGCUUUUUAAUGCAGUGAACUGAGUUGAUUUCACUGCCACUAUACCUGAUUGUUUUAUUUGUAUGUGGUUUGAUUUUAUUUUAUUUUUAUAGAGAGAUAUUAUCUGCAAUUACAACAGUUGAAGUUUCCAAACUGAGCGCAAAAAUCAAAAACCACAGAAUUCAUUGGAAAUGGAGAACUUGUAAAAUGUCAGACUAUUCAAGUCACAGAUCAAAAAUAUAUUUGGAAAAAUGUGCAAAUACUGCUCAGUCUUUAGACCAAUGUUAGAUUCAUUAAAACAUCACGACUUGACAUGAAAUGCAGCCUGCCAACAGCCCUUGGCGAGAAGAUGACCUUGCUCACAUUGAGAUGUGAUGUCUUAUUUAUUUUUCAUUCAUACCGAAGACGGCAAAGGGAACAUUUCGACAUCACUGCUGCGGAUUUCAAUCUUGAAGGUUAGAGAAGGUAUUAAUGACACCCCGAUUGCUGUCAUUGUCAUUGCAUGGCACUCGCUCGAACUCCAGCCGCUGCUUUAACACUCGGUAAAGUACAGAUUUGUUCGAAAUAAAAUCUUUAAUAUUCAAAGGAAGAAUCAGUUUGGGGCAGAUUGAAAUAUAGUUUGAUUAUAUUUCAACAACAGAGUAAGGAAGUACACUUGCUCGUUUAAUUUUUUUAAAAAGUUGAUUUCUGAAAUAAAGACAUACAAUAAAUAAAUAAUUAUUUAAAAUACAACUAUCUUGGUCACAAAAAAAGCAAAGAAACUCAUUUAAAUAGGCACCAUGUCCAAAUCGUUUUUCCACUUGGUCGACAUACUGUUUUCAAAAACUGACUGCACUGUUUUUGAACAUAUUCAAACAUACAAAAUCCCUUGCCAGUCCUUGUGCAUGUCAUCUUCUCUUGGUAAAAAAAAAAAAACACACACACACAAAAACA